rnacentral:rRNA from 1 species
GUGACCUCAAAUCAGGUAGGACUACCCGCUGAACUUAAGCAUAUCAAUAAGCGGAGGAAAAGAAACUAACAAGGAUUCCCCUAGUAACUGCGAGUGAAGCGGGAAAAGCUCAAAUUUAAAAUCUGGCGGUCUUUGGCUGUCCGAGUUGUAAUCUAGAGAAGUGUUAUCCGCGCUGGACCGUGUACAAGUCUCCUGGAAUGGAGCAUCAUAGAGGGUGAGAAUCCCGUCUUUGACAUGGACUGCCAGGGCUUUGUGAUGCGCUCUCAAAGAGUCGAGUUGUUUGGGAAUGCAGCUCAAAAUGGGUGGUAAAUUCCAUCUAAAGCUAAAUAUUGGCGAGAGACCGAUAGCGAACAAGUACCGUGAGGGAAAGAUGAAAAGAACUUUGGAAAGAGAGUUAAACAGUACGUGAAAUUGCUGAAAGGGAAACGCUUGAAGUCAGUCGCGUCGUCCAGGGAUCAACCUUGCUUUUGCUUGGUGCACUUUCUGGUUCGAUGGGUCAGCAUCAAUUUUGACUGUUGGAAAAAGGUCAAGGGAAUGUGGCAUCUUUGGAUGUGUUUAUAACCCUUGGUCACAUACAAUGGUUGGGAUUGAGGAACUCAGCACGCCGCAAGGCCGGGUUUAAACCACGUACGUGCUAGGA